AGGGCCCUCUGCGUACAACCUCCCACCCGUGUUUAUUUUACCUUGUUGCUUCGGCGGGCCCGCCUUUACUGGCCGCCGGGGGGCUCACGCCCCCGGGCCCGCGCCCGCCGAAGACACCCUCGAACUCUGUCUGAAGAUUGUAGUCUGAGUGAAAAUAUAAAUUAUUUAAAACUUUCAACAACGGAUCUCUUGGUUCCGGCAUCGAUGAAGAACGCAGCGAAAUGCGAUACGUAAUGUGAAUUGCAAAUUCAGUGAAUCAUCGAGUCUUUGAACGCACAUUGCGCCCCCUGGUAUUCCGGGGGGCAUGCCUGUCCGAGCGUCAUUGCUGCCCUCAAGCACGGCUUGUGUGUUGGGCCCCGUCCUCCGAUUCCGGGGGACGGGCCCGAAAGGCAGCGGCGGCACCGCGUCCGGUCCUCGAGCGUAUGGGGCUUUGUCACCCGCUCUGUAGGCCCGGCCGGCGCUUGCCGAUCAACCCAAAUUUUUAUCCAGGUUGACCUCGGAUCAGGUAGGGAUACCCGCUGAACUUAAGCAUAUCAAUAA
rnacentral:rRNA from 1 species